UCCGCUGGUAACUCAAGUGCUCUUUUCCUAACUGCUGCAGCUCAAAACCUACUUUGCCUCAAGUUGGCUGAGGAACUUGGGGUGAAAAUUGCAAGUCCAUGGGUUUCCUGGUUCAAGGCUGCUAGCUUGCCUGCAUUUGCUUCUCUUCUGGUUACUCCCUUAGUUCUGUAUAAGAUCUACCCCCUGGAAUCAAAGAUACACCAGAUGCUCCUGCUAUGGCUACAAAGAAACUGGAGCAGAUGGGUCCUGCCACAAGGAUUUCCUUGUGGGUAUUUGGAGAUGCUCUUGGUAUAGCAAGUGUAGUUGCAGCAAUGCUUGGGUUAUCCAUUCUCCCUGCUCUUGGGAGUUCUGCAAUGGGAUGAUUGCUUAAGUGAAAAACCAGCUUGGGAUACUUUAGCUUGGUUUGCGGUUCUUGUUGGCAUGGCAGGUCAAUUGCAAAUCUUGGUAGAGUAACAUGGAUGUCUAGUUGUGUGGCCAAGUCCCUUCAGUCAUUGUCAUUGAGCUGGCCAGCUGCAUUUGGUAUUCUCCAGGCAGCUUAUUUCUUCAUCCACUACUUAUUUGCAAGUCAGACUGGUCAUGUAGGAUCUCUGUUCUCUGCAUUUCUUGCCAUGCAGACUAAGCAUAAAAUCCAUCAAAUUGAAAACUUCAUAAUUUAAUAAAACCCAUCAAGACAAUGGAAUGGGCUACCCUCCAUUGAAAACAUAGAACAGAAAGAAGGGCAACGAUUCUUCUUCCCUCUUUAUCCAUGAAAAUCUCUGUAAUUUUAUUAGAAAGAAAAGCUUAAUUUUUCAUUGUUUUCAGAGAUUUGGGAUGCACUUCGAGAAGCUGCAGAAGCUGAUUUUCCCCUUGCAUAAGCAAUUGUGGACAGUGUAUGUGUCAUUGUUACAAGUGCGGACUUGACAACCUGAUAUGACGAAAGAGGUGCUAAAGAUGAAUUGCCCAAGUAUGUUUUGAGUGAGCCAACCAAUUUGAUUCGCGACAGUUGACAACAGAGCGAAAGGCCGAUCACCAUGCUUCAAUAAAAUUGAAUGUAAAUCAUGAAAUUACUCAUUCUCUUUUGGGAAGUUUGGUGGCAUAUAGUAAACUUGUCACAAAGACAUAUGGGAAGUACCUGCAGUUUAACUCGGUCAACUCUCUGUUAUUGCUGGCUGAUUAGGAAGAAGAAAAGGAAACAGUUAAUGGUAAGAAGUUUUGGUCUUUUACCAUCAACUCUGGAUCUGUUACAAACAAGACAUGUACAUGAUGAACCAUGUGUUGAUUUCAAGUGAAAGGGGUUCUAUUUCUUCUCCUCAAUGACAGUACAUUUUAAGUCCAGCCAUGCUGUACGAAGCAGAGUUGGGUAGUUAAGAAGUAAUAUAAGCAGGUCUUCAUGCUCCUUGGAUGGAAUAUCAUAGAUGCAGCAAGGACGACUCCAUUACCACCACGAAGGACUAGAGACCCAGAUUUUUUUUGUCUCUCUUACAGGGAAUUUAUACUGUUUAUGUUGAGAAGCUAUGCAGAGGUGGAAAUCUAUUGGAUGUUGCAAGAUUAUUACAUCAUCUACGCAAUAAGUAGUUAUUCUUGAGUGCAAAUUUAUAUAAUGCCCUCUUGAUGGCCACUGGUGAAGGGAAUGAUUUUGAGCUUCUGUUUUUUGUAAAUGAAGUAAUUUGUAUUUUUAAGAAUGAAUGAGUGAACAGAUAUAAUUUGUAUUUUUAAGAAUGAAUG